AAGAGGGAGAGAGAGACGGGUCGUGAGAAAUAAAAGAGAUGGCGAUUAGAGGAGGGUAGCUUAAAGGUGCCCCAGAAAAAGCAGAGGACGAUCUCACGUCCUUUAAUCAAGCAAACACUGAAAGGCUGGCUGUCACACGUCACUGACAGAGAGAGGGGAGGACAGCAACUCGACCUCUCCAGAAUGUAUACAGGUUACAUCAAAUGACAGCUGCCAGCCCCACUUUUAAAAUGGCUGCUACGCCCCUGGUUUUGGAACAUGAACAUUGGAACAGAGUAAGGCAAUACAAUUGUUUGCGGAUUAACAGAAAAUUGGAGGAGAUGAAAAUGGGAGGCGUGGUGGAGUUUAUUGGAGAUAUUUUUUCUAUUUUAUGCAAACUCAGAGAAGGUCAAAUUUCAUGGAUGAGCAGUAGAGAUUAUACAUCACUCGAGGGGACAAAAUACCCAUCCAAGGAUAUACUAUAGCUUCCAGUUAGAAACCAUUAAAUGAGAGGAGUAUGGAAAGAGUGACAUCCACACAAAUACACUCACACAUUCACAUCUAACAGUGCCUUUUUUUUCCACACACGCUCAAAAUAAGUCACGUGAGAAAAAAGAGAUAAGGAGGUCUCCCAUCUGUCCGCCUGUCAGUGCCCUUUGGUCGAAGGUCACAGAGAAGGACUGUCUAUGCAAGUGAGUCAGGGCCCAAAGAAAUAAGACGUGAUGUUUCCAUCGCUCUGUGCACUAUGAGAAAUGUCAGACCUUCAGGUUGGAGAUGAGACAAAGCCAAGAAGAGGCAGGGAGACCAGUCUCCUCUGUCAGACCAAUAAAGGUUCAGAGGGAAGAGUGUCACUUGAGGUAAAUGUCAAGACAGAAAGGAAAGAAGAAGAGAGAGAGAAAAAAUGUGUGUGAGGGAUAAAUUACCCUAAUUCUUAGUGAUGAGAUGAAGAAUGAGUAUCACCAGAUGUAUUAAGGUGUCAAAACUGGGAUGGAGAAGCAGACUUAUCAACGGCUGUCAGACUUAUUGAUCCUUCGCCACCUUGUCACUGAGCGAAGAGGCCACUGCAGUUGUAAACUACACAUUGAUCAUGAAAUUGAAGGACAUGUCAUCGCAACAUUAUAUGCUAAAAGAGUGCAGCCAUGUCAAAUGGGUUUUGAGACUCUAAAUGCUUUUCGAAACAUUACACACUGCAUGUUACAUAUAUAUGUUAAAGUAUUAUAAAUCACAAUGGUAUGAAAUAUUGCUUUCUUCUUUUUACAGCUUGACAGUUGCAGUCACUAUUUUUCCAUCAACUGUUGUCAGGUUGUACAUCUGAAACGCAACUGGCAGCGUAUGAAAUCUGAUUUGGUCAGCAAUAGCAAUUCAUAUUAAUGUAUAUGUGCAUGACAGUACGGUCUGUUUAUCUUAAUGUCUCUUUUUAUCAAUAGAUGAGUUACAUUAAAAAUAGCAUGUGUAUAUUA